rnacentral:miRNA from 1 species
GUUAAAAUGCAGAUUCUGAUUCAGUAGGUCUGGGUUAGGGCCAGAUAUUCUGCAUUUUUAACAAGCUC